UGAGGAAUAUUGCGCAAUGGGGGAAACCCUGACGCAGCGACGCCGCGUGGAUGAUGAAGGCCUUCGGGUCGUAAAAUCCUGUCAGGUGGAAAGAAGUGUAGUAUACCUAAUACGUGUACUAUUUGACGGUACCACCAAAGGAAGCACCGGCUAACUCCGUGCCAGCAGCCGCGGUAAUACGGAGGGUGCAAGCGUUGUUCGGAAUUACUGGGCGUAAAGCGCGCGUAGGCGGCUAUUUAAGUCAGAUGUGAAAGUCCACGGCUCAACCGUGGAAGUGCAUUUGAAACUGGAUGGCUUGAGUACUGGAGGGGGUGGUGGAAUUCCCGGUGUAGAGGUGAAAUUCGUAGAUAUCGGGAGGAAUACCGGUGGCGAAGGCGACCACCUGGCCAGAUACUGACGCUGAGGUGCGAAAGCGUGGGGAGCAAACA
rnacentral:rRNA from 1 species